AGCGUAGACGGAUGGACAAGUCUGAUGUGAAAGGCUGGGGCUCAACCCCGGGACUGCAUUGGAAACUGCCCGUCUUGAGUGCCGGAGAGGUAAGCGGAAUUCCUGGUGUAGCGGUGAAAUGCGUAGAUAUUAGGAGGAACACCAGUGGCGAAGGCGGCUUACUGGACGGUAACUGACGUUGAGGCUCGAAAGCGUGGGGAGCAAACA
rnacentral:rRNA from 1 species